UCUUAGUUCGUGGAGUGAUCUGUCUGCUUAAUUGCGUUUCAAAAUAUGAAUUUGAGUACCAGGUCCCAAGUGUUUCAAGUAAAUCUGUCUCUGAGUGUGAACUGUAUCUCUUCGGAUAUGCGACUAUCACUCUUAGGCAAUUAUGAUUUGCUUGUAGCCCCUGGUACUCUUUUGAACGCAACGGACGUGAUUGCAACCCCUUGUUGAGUUUGCUUCUCUUAGGAACUCUACGUCUACUGAUCCACCUACCUUAGCGGGUAGGUGGUGAGGUGGAUAAACUCGGGGGACUGCUGACUAUAACCAUUUCUCAAAACAGAGGAAGGUUGCGGCAAUAACAGGUCUGUGAUGCCCUCAGAUGUCCCGGGCUGCACACGUGCUACAAUGAGUAGCGCAGUGUGCACAUUUUGAAGAGUGAUAGGUGCUGGGGUUGUACAUUUUAAAGGGCUCGUCCUAGUAACCAACCGCCCCCAAGCAUCUAUCAACCUUCCCUUUACAGGGUGGGUAACCUCUUCGAAGUGCUGGUUUGAUUUCCCUAGUGUUUGUCAUAAUAAUCCUCGUCGCACCUACUCUAGGACAUAGUGAACAUUGUAGACUUUGUCAUAAUGAUUCCCGUCUUAGGUUUGCGACGCAUGCUUUUCCUGGUUGACUCAUCGUGGGAAC
rnacentral:rRNA from 1 species